CAAAGGAAGGAGUAACCUUUGAAUGAGCUGCUAUCUGGGGUGCCGUGCCCCAGUCUAAGGCAGGAGGAGUAAACGCAGUCUACAGGGGAGCCGUGGCAGUCGACUCGCCGCCAUGAGGACGGCCAGGCCUCCCGACCUCUACUGGCUGCUGGACCUCCACAGCUCAACCCUAGUGCAGUACAAGUUUGGCCCAAUGGACCUUCAUGGGCUGUUCCAAGAGGAGGCAUUUCUGUGAUGAGCUGAGGGCUAAGGUUAUGGAGAAGGCCAACGAGCAGGUCCAGCACUAGAAACACAGGACAGGGUGUCAGCGUGGGAGCAGGCACUUGCUACGCAGCUCCUGGAACAGGAAUGCAGCUAAGGGAGGAGGACAAAGCUCAGCAGAGAGAACUGUUUGAGCAUCUCACCUCAGUCAUGGCUGCAAGAGUAGCAGCUACUGCUGCCUCUCCCACCACCAUGGCCCAAUUUCCCUGUGACAUACCUUCAGCCCAGAAACCGCUUGGCAAACUUUAUGGCUGAGUGGCCCAUGCAAUCAGGCCCCAUGGAUGUCUGGGCAGGGCAACUUAGCCCCAUGCAAUCCUCCGUCUUGAUGCCCUCUCCUAUGGAUGCCUCCACUGCCCUCUCCAGGUGCCAAGUGCAUGGAAAACUGUGAAGGGGAAAGGAGA